UGUUGGGUUAAGUCCCGCAACGAGCGCAACCCUCGUCGUUAGUUGCCAGCAUUUGGUUGGGCACUCUAGCGAGACUGCCGGUGACAAACCGGAGGAAGGUGGGGAUGACGUCAAGUCAGCAUGCCCCUUACGUCCUGGGCUACACACGUACUACAAUGCUGUGGACAAAGAGUUGCCAGCCCGCGAGGGUGAGCUAAUCUCAUAAACCACGGCCCAGUUCAGAUUGCAGGCUGCAACUCGCCUGCAUGAAGGCGGAAUCGCUAGUAAUCGCAGGUCAGCAUACUGCGGUGAAUACGUUCCCGGGCCUUGUACACACCGCCCGUCACACCAUGGGAGUUGGCCACGCCCGAAGUCGUUACUCCAACUGUUCGCAGAGGGGGAUGCCGAAGGCAGGGCUGAUGACUGGGGUGAAGUCGUAACAAGGUAGCCGUACCGGAAGGUGUGGCUGGAUCACCUCCUUU
rnacentral:rRNA from 1 species